UAAGCAGAGAAGUGUCAUGAUCAGACGUGAGUUUCAGAAAGGACAUCAGGUUUGGAAAGGGCACACAGUAGACCCUCAAUGAAUACAUUUAAUGAACAACGGUGAACAAUUGAUUAAACGGUGAAGAAGACAAUGUCUGUAACUGGUUUGGAGGGGAGGCAAGAUGAGCAAUUAAGAGUCUCAAUGUUCAAGUGGUAGACUACAAGCAGUGCCCAGGUUAUGAACGAGAUCCGUGUCUAAGUUUGUCUUUAAAUCAGAUUUGCAGGUAAGUGAGAACAGGUACGUAUGGUUCUUAUUUAGCAUCAGUUAGUCAAAUGUUUGUCUUAGUAUAUAGUAUAUAUUUUACCUUUCUAUGCAUAUAAAACACUUAAGAAAUACUUCUAAACCUCACCAUGU